CCUCGGAUCAGGUAGGAAUACCCGCUGAACUUAAGCAUAUCAAUAAGCGGAGGAA
rnacentral:rRNA from 6 species